AUUUUUGUAAAUAAACUUAAAUAAGAAAAAACAAUAAUUCAAUAUUAAUUAUAGUAUUUUUUAUAAUUAAAUUUUUUAAAAUUUAAAGAUUGUGUUGUUAGCAUGGAUCGCAUAAGUGAUUCCAAUAUGAACAAUAAUAUAAAAAGAGCUUUGGUUUCCGAUACAGGUCUUUUAUCUAUUCACUUUUGGGCUCCAACAUUUAAAUGGUCUAUAAGCAUUGCAAAUAUUGUUGAUAUUAAUAGAAGCCCUGACUUGUUAUCCUUUCCACAGCAACUUGCUAUAUUCCUCACUGGAGUGUUAUUUGCUCGCUUCGCUUAUAAAAUCAAACCAAGGAAUAUGAAUCUGCUAACAAUUAACCUAUUUAUGAGUAUGACAGCGAUGUAUCAAAUCGGACGUAUUGCUAUUUAUAAAUAUGACCAAACUGAAAAAAGUAAAGAUGAAAAUAAUAGCACGCCAGUAACAACUGAGAAAUUAAGUUUGCUUAGAAAAUAA
rnacentral:lncRNA from 1 species